CAUGAUUCACUCGCGAAGAUCACAUUUCCAAAUGGAGUGGUUCCUGAACUUUGCCAAAUGAGAAGUCGAACCUUCAGCCAUCUUGGUUCAAACUCGUGUUGUUUCUCAACACCUUAAAGGCUCCCGAAUCCCUGCUUGAAUGCUGAAUGGCCGGACAUUCCUCCAGGUGACCGCAAGGUCCAUAAGAGCAUCGGGAUUUCAGAUCCUAAGCAGGUCUGUGACUGACCCUUGAUCUGUGACCUUUGCCCCUGCUGCAUACACUCUGCUUGACUCUGAGAUGUGACCGCAGCCGAUGUCUACGCUGGUCCCCAUUAAACGCAGGCAGCCACAGUUUCUCUGUUCUUUUAAGAAGGUGACAGCCACUUCCAUCUCCCAGAAGUCCUCGGUGACAGCUACCAGACCCCUUGUGCUGGAAACACCUUCCAGCAUCCAGGAGAGAAUCAAUAAUUCACUGAAGUGGAAGCCACAGAGCCUGUUGGAUCCAAUUUUUCACCUUGUUGUUCUGAAACCCAGCUAAUAUUUUUUAUGUCCAAUGUGCACAAUUGAUAUCUGUCACAUUGAAAGACUAAAGCCUUUUGCAGGGUUAACCCCUUCAAUGCCCAGACAGAGAACUGGGAGCCACAAAUACCAGUUGAAAUGGGCACAAGGAACACGGCCAGGGGCAAAAAAGCUUUCAUGAUCAAACCACAGAUGGGUAAAAAGACAGAUUUAAAAAUUAUUUGCAAUCAUCAGGACUGAAAGACCUAUUUGCAUCCUGCUUUAAAAUUACAACUGAGGUUUAUGGCUCUUAUCUUUGUGGUAGCUUUGAAAACUUCUCUUGUAAUCACGAAUGCCGAAUUAGUGUUAAUCUGGCCUGCUGCCUGAAUUUCUGCUGCAGUGUCACUCAGAUGAAUUCCUUCACAAUCCCAGAUGUCUCUCAAGAUCACACCUGCCAUCCUGGGUGAUGUGCUGAUUGAGGGAAGUCUCUAGUGGAUCACAGCAUUAAUACAUAGGGUGAUUAUCCCCUUGUUUCUUCCUUUGAAUUGUGAUUGAUGAUAUAGAUAAGGAACAUGGCAACAUCUUGGAUACCCUCCCUUUAAUGUAGUUAAAGCAGUUGUUCCGUUGGUUAUAGUAACCUUCCAUAUGACACAGGCAGAGGUGAUGUGUAAAUUGGACAUUGUGGUCUGUUUAAAGUUAUAUCCAGUUAUUAAAAAUCUAUUUCUGUGUUUUCUGUAGAUGCGACAUUUAAAAU